GUCGAGAAUUUUUCUCAAUGGGCGAAAGCCUGAAGGAGCGACGCCGCGUGGGGGAUGAAGGGCUUCGGCUCGUAAACCCCUGUCAUUUGCGAACAAACCCUCCGGUCUAACACAUCGGAGGCUGAUUGUAGCGAAAGAGGAAGGGACGGCUAACUCUGUGCCAGCAGCCGCGGUAAUACAGAGGUCCCAAGCGUUGUUCGGAUUCACUGGGCGUAAAGGGUGCGUAGGUGGCAAGGUAAGUCUGAUGUGAAAGCUCUGAGCUCAACUCAGAAAUGGCAUUGGAAACUACCUGGCUCGAGGAUCGGAGGGGAGACUGGAAUUCUCGGUGUAGCAGUGAAAUGCGUAGAUAUCGAGAGGAACACCAGUGGCGAAGGCGAGUCUCUGGACGAUUCCUGACGCUGAGGCACGAAAGCUAGGGGAGCAAACAGGAUUAGAUACCCGUGUAGUCC
rnacentral:rRNA from 1 species